CCUACGUGAGGCUGCAGUGGGGAAUAUUGCACAAUGGGGGAAACCCUGAUGCAGCGACGCCGCGUGAAGGAAGACGUAUUUCGGUAUGUAAACUUCUAUCAGCCGGGAAGAAAAUGUCGGUACCUGUCUCCGAAGCCACGGCUAACUACGUGCCAGCAGCCGCGGUAACACGGCGGGGGCGAGCGGUAAUCGGAUUUACUGGGUGGAAAGGGAGCGUAGGGGGUUCGGCAAGUUAGGAGGUAAUGCCCGGGGGUCAACUCCGGGAGUGCUUUUGAAACCGGUGAACUAGAUUGCAGGAGAGGUAAGUGGAAUGCCUGGUGUAGCGGUGAAAUGCGUAGAUAUUAGGAGGAACGCCGGUUGCGAAGGCGGCUUACUGGAGUGUAAAUGACGCUGAGGCUCGAAAGCGUGGGGAUCGAACAGGAUUAGAUACCCUUGUAGUC
rnacentral:rRNA from 1 species